CUUACACAAACGAUCACGAAAUUUUCUUUCAUAAUAAUGAUUUUAAUUUAUAGUUUUUACAUAUUUAUGAUAAUCGUUAAGGUGUCCAAUUCAAUCAACCAAAAUUAUGCUGUGAUUCCUCAUGAUUUUUUCUUUGAAGAUGUCAGAUAUUUUGACGGACGUUAUUGUUACGCAAGAUAUUCUAAUACUAUUCAUCUAUUCGAUUCGCAGCUGUUGGACCCACAAGAUCUUUUUUUAUCAUCAUACA